AAAAAAGCAAGAUUUAGAUGAUAUUUCGCAACAAUGUCAAUGUUAGAUUCUGAUUCACCAACAGUGCUCUUUAGGUUACAAAGGAUUUGAAUUGAGCGAUUCAACUCUGCCUUCAUCAGUACAAACAAUUCAUAAAAGAGGUUCAGUCUCUUCUUUAUUAUCUAUGUGCAUUAAUACUAUGUAUGAUACUAACUGAGUACAGUUGCCUGCAGUAUGCAUUGCUCUACUUUGGAUCCUUUUUCUUACUUUAUACUUCCUUUGCUCUCUGUUGUGUUUGCAGAUGAAUUGGACUAAUCUACUCAGCAUCUCAUGACUUUAGAAGCACGAGUUCAUGAAAACUGAUAUCCACUAGGAUUGCUCUGCUCCUGUUGACAUGCGAGAGCUGUUUGAAGCGAACUGGAUGGUUGUCACCACUGAUUAAGCUGCCGAGCCCAAGAAUUGUGUCAGACUAUUGGCCAAGCUGUUCAAUUUCUCAACACCGUUCAGUUUUGUCAUUGGCCGCCCUUGCGUACACUCAACAGAGAAGGGUAUCUAUGCUCAAUUUCCUACUCUAGAUAACAUCUACUCAUAUAAUUGAUCUCUAAUAUCCUGUACAAAACGUUAGUGGUGGCUCGACAAUUUAAUAAGCCAGAUUUGUGGGAAGUGGAAUGCAUGUGUAACCAAACUGGGCUGGACCAAUCUUGAGGUUUUCCACGAAUUCUUUUAAAAAUGGUUCUUAAGCAAGGCACUGGGAAAUCGUGGAUAGCUGAUAUAUCCAGCAGGUAUGUGCACAUUCUGCUAUAAUCUAGAGUAGGGAGUGCUCAGCAUAAAUUGUGAGAUCUGAGCUGGUACAUAAAAUAAACCAAGAUAGUCUUGUCUUACGUGCGGAUGAUUUUAU
rnacentral:lncRNA from 1 species